UACGUAGGGUGCGAGCGUUGUCCGGAAUUACUGGGCGUAAAGAGCUCGUAGGUGGUUUGUCGCGUUGUUCGUGAAAACUCACAGCUCAACUGUGGGCGUGCGGGCGAUACGGGCAGACUGGAGUACUGCAGGGGAGACUGGAAUUCCUGGUGUAGCGGUGGAAUGCGCAGAUAUCAGGAGGAACACCGAUGGCGAAGGCAGCUCGCUGGGACGGUACUGACGCUGAGACGCGAAAGCGUGGGGAGCGAACAGG
rnacentral:rRNA from 1 species